AGGGCACCACCAGGAGUGGAGCCUGCGGCUUAAUUUGACUCAACACGGGAAAACUUACCCGGCCCGGACACUGGAAGGAUUGACAGAUUGAGAGCUCUUUCUUGAUUCAGUGGGUGGUGGUGCAUGGCCGUUCUUAGUUGGUGGAGCGAUUUGUCUGGUUAAUUCCGAUAACGAACGAGACUCUAGCCUACUAAAUAGACUGUUCAGCUUUAUAGCCGGAAUCACCGGGUGCGUGCCUCUCGGGGUGCGUAUUCGGCUCUGGUGACGCUGGCAGUGCUUCUUAGAGGGACAGGCGGCGGUUCAGCCGCACGAAACAGAGCAAUAACAGGUCUGUGAUGCCCUUAGAUGUCCGGGGCUGCACGCGCGCUACACUGAAGUGAUCAGCGUGCAAUUCAAGUUUGGUGAUCUGUCAAGAUUGCCCAACCCGUUGAACCUUCUUCGUGAUUGGGAUAGGGGAUUGUAACUAUUCCCCUUGAACGAGGAAUUCCCAGUAAGUGCAAGUCAUAAGCUUGCGUUGAU
rnacentral:rRNA from 1 species